UACGGAGGGUGCGAGCGUUGUCCGGAAUCACUGGGCGUAAAGCGCACGUAGGCGGACUGUUAAGUCGGGGGUGAAAUCCUGGGGCUCAACCUCAGAAUUGCCUCCGAUACUGGCAGUCUCGAGUGCGAGAGAGGUGAGUGGAAUUCCCAGUGUAGAGGUGAAAUUCGUAGAUAUUGGGAAGAACACCAGUGGCGAAGGCGGCUCACUGGCCCGUAACUGACGCUGAGGUGCGAAAGCGUGGGGAGCAGACGAGG
rnacentral:rRNA from 1 species